GCAAAUUAAUUAAAUAUUUUUAAAACAAAAUGAUUAAAUAAACAUUUAUAAUUUCAUACCGCAAUAGAGCUUAAUUCAAUCUAAAUUUUUGGAUUCUUGAUUUUUCAAAACCUACAUCAAGUCAACAACACAAUAAUUUAAUUAGUUAAUUAAAACAUUAUAUAAAUUAUUUAUUUAUUUAAUCAAAUCAAUUUAUAAAUUAUUUAAAAAUAAUCAAUUAAAUAAUUAUUUAAAACAUUUAUAAACAGUAAAUUAAAUAAUUCAUAAAUUAUAAUUCCAAUCGUGCAAGUUUGGAUGGUAGAGCCCUCUUAAGAGGUAAUUACUUCACUCUACGUGACAUUUUUAAAAUUUAAAUUUUUAAUUACUUAAUUAAUUAUUAAACAAAUAAUUAAUUAAAUAAUCAUUCAUUUUUACACAAAUAAUAAUUUUAUUAAUAAAAACAAUCAAUUAAAUAUUUAUUACAUAAGAAUUAUUUUAUAAUUUAAUGCAAAUUUUUCAUUAUUUAAAACAAUAUGUUAAUUACUUAUUUAAUUAAUUAAAACUUCUUUUUAAUUAUUUUUAAAAAGUAAAUAAAAUAUUUUUUUAAAUAAUUAAAACAAAAUAAUAUAAUAUUUCAUGCAAAUUAAAUAAUAUUUCAUUUUAAUUAAAACAAAAUUAUUUCAUUCAAAUAAUUCAUUAAUAAUUUUUUUCAUGCAUAUUAUUUAUUUCAUGCAUAUUUAAUUCAUGCAAAUUAUUAGUUUCAUGUAAACUUAAUAAUUUAAAUUAAAUAUUUUAAAUAUAUAUGAUUAAAAAUUUAUUUUUAACAUUAUAAUUUAAUAUUUAUUAACAUUUGAUUAAUAUUCAAUAAUUAAAUAAAUAAUAGAUUAAAUAAAUAAUAUUAAUAUUUACCGUAAUAUAGCUUAAUUACUUCAAUCCGAAAUUUAUACGAAUUCACGAUUUCACAAAACCUACAAUAAAUGGACAACACAAUAAUUAAUUAAAAAUAUAUUAUAUAACUUUUUUAAAAACAGUAAAUUAAUUAAUUAAAAUUAAAUCAAUCAUAAAUCAAUAAAACAAUCAUAAAACAAUCAUAAAACAAGAAAUCAAUAACAAGAAAUCAAUAAAACAAUCAAAACAACAUAAUUCUUAACCAAUAUAAACAUAAUAAACAAUCACAACAAUAUAAUCAAUAAACACCAACAUAAACAAUAUAGACACCAAGAAAAACAAUAUAAACACCAACAAGUACAUAUAAAAUGGUGGUAGGAUGCCUACUAUCGAAUCAAUAACAAGAAAUCAAUAAAAAAAAAUUCUAAUCACACCAUUCAUAUACAAAAUCGAAUCACACAUAUACAAAAUCGAAAAUAAUAUAGGAACCCUAAAAAUCAUUCAACAAAACCAUCUUAAAUUAAGGAAAUUAUAAACAUUCAUACCAAGUAAGAUGAAAUCAACCUAUAAAUGAAAUCAACAAAAUACAAAUGAAAUCAACAAAAAUGAAAUCACAAAUAAUAAUCAACAAAUAAUAAUCAACAAAAAUGAAAUCAACAAAAUAAUAAACCAAACCCACAAAUGAAAUACCUACACAGUCGAUCGGCGAUGAUGGAGACGGCGAAACCAGCGGGCGAACACACGACGAUCGCGAUCGGAGGAGGAGUCGGGAGUCGGCGGCGAAAUCAGACAGCGCGGGAGUGGGAGUCGGGAGACGGCAGCCGGCAACACUAAAAAACAGACAGACGCGUUCUGUCUGGAUUUGGGGUUUUUAAUAAACCCCAAAACUUACAUGACGGAUUUCCGCCAUGUAAGUACACUUAAGUGCCACCAGCACUAAGGUGAAAGUCCGCCCAAACGAAAUUUGGGCGGACUUUUUCCGCCCGAGUCCCCGAAUACUUAACAUGGUGGACAUCCGCCAUGUUAAGUCAAUUUAAUCGGGUAAUCGGGCUGAAAAUUGGGGGUCAUUCGAAAUUUUGGGCGGGAUAGUUUAGAUGGCGGAUUUCCGCCAUCUAAACACCGCCAUCGAAAGUAAUUUCGAACCGCCUCGAGUCAAAACUUUUCCUCGACGGAUUCGAUGAAUAGAUGGCGGACAUCCGCC
rnacentral:lncRNA from 1 species